rnacentral:lncRNA from 1 species
CUGUAAAGAAAAGUGAACUUUGUUAUUUUCCUUUAAACAAACAAACAAACAACAACAACAACAAAAAACAACACAAAAACAUACAUGUGACUUUGAAUUGGCUGGCUUUCCCAUCUGCCCCAAAAUGUGCAUGUAGCAGACCCUCACCUUUUCAGAAUGAAAUGAAGCAGGUGAAAUAUUUUGCUGAGUCAAUUUCAAAUGUUGCAUUCCCUAGAGGAUAUUGCCCAUGUAGGACUGUGUAGCUGCCACAGCAAGAUGCAGUGGAGAGCUAGGCUCUGUCCCCACCCCCCACCUGGACAAAUAGCAGGGUGCUGAACAGAAGCUGAGGGCUACUUUGCUUCUGGGCCAGAGGCACUCACUUUGGGCCGCUCCAAUAAAUGGAAGGAGUGGACACACAACUGCUUAUGCCUAGAAGGAUCUCUGACAGGCACUGCCUGAAUGCAAACAGACAGCCAAUGCCCAGAAUGUGAACUUUUGUGCACCACAGCAUUUGGUCCCUUUUAUUUCCCCACAUAUUUUGUCCCAAAACAAACAUAUCAGUGAUACCCCAGAAGACAUUCUCUGCAGUCUCACUCUCUGGGUAUUUUGUGUUCCUAUUUCCUUUUUCUUACUUUCUCUCCUUUGCUUCUGUUUGUAUGGUUCAACACUGCAUGGUGGUCAUUCCCUCCGCCCCAGAUUUGUGAAAUGUUAUGUGAGAUCAACGGUCUGUUCUGCUUAGCACCUUGUUUCUGAAAGGUGCCAAGAAAGUGUGCUUUAAAGAGUGUAAUGACAGUACAAAAGUGGGGAUUGAAAUAAAGUCCUUGCCUUUUCAUGCAACAUUAGGGUUCAUUUUGGAGUUUAUUUUGUCUGCAGAGAAGCUUCCUUAGAAAGAAGAAAACCAAUUCUUUCUCAGUCUUGUUGAUGUCAGACAAAAUAAGUAUCUCUUGCUAGGUUGUCUGUGUUAUAUAUUUACUUAGGCAAAAUAUUGACUGUUCUGCUCCCCAUACAACUUUCCUCUGCUCUCUGUAGUGAAAUUUAAUGGGAGAUCUGUCAAAAUCAGUAUUGAGCUGCAAGUUUUGUCUCAGCGAGAAAACUACUGCCAUUUGUUCAAAGGUUGUCCUCUAAAUUUAUGGACUUAAACAAGUGUGUGACACUCUUCAGACAGCUUAGUUAAUUUGAAAUCCCGCUUAUAUCAAUUUAGAUUAGACAGACGAGAAUCAAUGUGACUUGUCAUCCAUGCUAGCCAGCGUUAAAUUGAACUGAGUGACCACACAGUGUUUUACACUAGUUUAAUUCACUUUUUAAAAAUAACAUGCAUUAAAAUACUGUGACCACCCUGUAAAGCAAGGGCUUUGCUCUGCCCCCGGUCAUGUUGCCUGCAGGCUUUAGCUGAAACAACAGGACGACCAGUGAGCAUUUCUUUGCUUUCUCUAUCUGUGUGCAUCUCUGUCAAGACUUUCCACUUUUACACUGGAGAGACCUCAGGAGGUUUCCAAGGAAGAGCACACCUAAAUGGUACAACACAGCACUGUGUUGUAGCUUCUGCUAGUUCGAACUGAGGUAGCCUGGGGACCGUGUGAAAUGUGAUGCCUUCUGCACUGGUAUGUCCAACAUAGGUAAGGGGAUUAUUUUAAACCUAAACAGUACAGAUAGGUAGGACUGUAGGCUACAUGGCAUGACAUGGAGAAAACAUGGUUGAGGACUUAACCCUAUUCUUGAUGACUGCCCAUCUUCUGUAGCUGACCACUGGGCUUUGUGUACGUGUCACAGGACACCUAUCACCAUUCCCCAUAGCACUGGCUGAACUCAGAGCCUCCUGGAACAAGUGAAAAAUCUCCACAUUUCUUCCUCCCUAGCUGCUAGCAGGCUUCUGGAGGAGGUAUCUUCUUCUUCCGAAUGGGGCUGGGAGAGGGAAGGUUGGUGUCGAGUGUUUAGCUAAUUUACAAAAUCUCUUUGAAUUACAAUUUGAAGAGCAGACCUAAAUAAACAAAAUAAGGAUUGGUUUGCAUAUGAAUAAAUUAUAUUCAGGACUCCAAAAUUCACAGCCUUGUAGAAACUGUGAAAGCUUGACCUAUGUGUAAUGUCCCUGCUGCCUAGGAUAAUGUUAGAAAGAACCCCCCCACCCCCCGCCACCUCCAAACAUACCAAGGAGUGAAAAAAAAACCAAACAACCUUACUUAAAGCAGGCUUGUGCUGAGUAUCUAACUUCCUUGUAAAUGAAUCUGGACAACUUCCCAGAUAACAUAUCUGUCCCUCUAAUUCCUAUCUCAAGGAUGAAGUUGAUCAGAGAAGAACUGAAGAGGACUGGUGAGUUAUUCUCAGUGUUUAUCAGGGUAGCACCUGGAGGUGAUCUGAUCUUCCCGCCUCCUCAAAAAAAUAAAUCUGUCUUCCCUUGGCUAGCUCACAAAUCUGCACUCAAACCCUUCUGUGCCAAACAUGUGCAGGUGUACAGUAUCUGUGUUACUACCGAGCCAUCUGCAGCCUCCUCUGCAUGGCAGUUGUUUUACUUUGGAGUUCCUUUCCCGACCAAAUGGAAGUCCACAGAACAGUUUCAAUAGCACAAAUUAAGAAACUAAUGCUUUCUCACAAUGAAAUCAGCUUUGCCUUAGCUCAUGUUGCAGGAACAGGAGAUUUUCUCUCGUCCUGAAAUACAUGAGAGUCAGAGGAAGUGAAAUUGCAGGAUCCACCUGCAUCUCUCGCACAUGGCAUUCGUUGCACACAGUACCACUGAAGGAAGCAAAUGCUAGCAUUAAUUUUCACCAUGAGAGUUUUGCUCAACUGGUCAAAGCAUUGUAGUCUGACAGCGCAGUGGAGGAGCUCAACCCCAGACCUGGCCUCCUCAGCAGAAAAAACCCUGGCCUCAUGGUCGCACUGUGCAUCUGCUGAGCAUCAUCCAGAUGGAUGGAGGCAUUCCACCUUCCCACCCCUCACCCCUAAAACACCAGCUGCUCCCCAAACAAAACCAUUCCGUAUCGCUAGCCCUGGCAGAUCACCGCAUGCCCAGCACCACUGUGAACAAACAGCAGUCUUUGUGUUUGCAAGGGAAGGAAGGCAGCAGUUUCUCCAUGAAACCAGGAGCGUCACCAUUUCCACUUCUUGCUUCAGCUGGUGCAUCAGAAAAGAGCAAUGUGCCCUCCUGUUUUUCGGAAACCUCAAGGAGCUGCCAGCCAACAUGCUGAGCUGGUGAAAUUGAUGGCUGACUAGAUGAACAAAAGUGCACUUCGGGGACCUCCCCAUAGUCUGUCAUUCACUAAUGUUGCCCUCCCCUUGACUUCUGUGGGCUUCCUGGGGAGGCAGCUGUUCCCACACAUAGGUCUGCGGCUAUGUGUUUGAGAGCGUGGGCACAGCUGUGAGUGCUGAACCAGAAACAGGUAGAGAACUUGUCCUAGUGCCAGAGGGAGACAGUAUGGAUGAUAUGUAAUCUGGAAGCUUCCCAGAUCACCUAGGCACUUCUACCUAAUGUGGCUUUGGACCCCCAAAGCUGUGUCUGGUUGACAGCAGGGAUGCUACCAGCAAGGCAUUCCUUAAAAUAAGCAAACAAAAACAACAACAAGCUUUCAGUGGACCAAGAAGAUAGAUUGCAUAACAUUUUCAGAUAAGUUCAUUUUCUCAGGAGAAGGCAAGUAGAAACGUGCAUCUCUUUAUGUUUCCUCGUGUUUCUCCAGCCCCACUGACUUAGCCAGCCCGUUAGAUCAUAUCAUUUGAUGAAAACAGAGAAGUUUGAGACAUAGAAAUCUGUGUAUCAGCAAGAUAAAUACGUCAGCUCAGACUUUUCUAGACUGAAGGUAGAAAGCUGAACAUUUAAAAGUGAGUCACAUAGCAAAGUGUGCUUUCACAAGGAGUCAGAAACUGCAAAUAAGCUGUAGAGCAUAAUAUUUAAGAUAAGGAGCAAAGUUAUCUACGUGAGCUUAAAUAGCACUGAGCAGUAUAGUGCACUAAUAGAAAAUACUGCUUGUGUUUGCUUGGCCAGUGCCUCUGAUAAGUGGAGGAAUUGGGCCUUUGCUCCCCCAAAUGCCUAUGAAGCACUGAUUGCCUACAUCUCUUAUAAAGCCACCAGUGUCUCCAGUUCCAAGAAGGCACUUACGUUUUUUUUCAGUUCUAACUUGUGUUCUUAUUCCUUUUCUUUUCUCUUCUCUUCUUUUCUUUUCUUUUCUUUUCUUUUCUUUUCUUUUCUUUUCUUUUCUUUUCUUUUCUUUUCUUUUCUUUUCUUUUCUUCUCUUCUCUUCUCUUCUCUUCUCUUCUCUUCUCUUCUCUUCUCUUCUCUUCUCUUCUCUUCUCUUCUCUUCUCUUUUCUUUUCUUUUCUUUUCUUUUCUUUUCUUUUCUUUUCUUUUCUUUUCUUUUCUUUUCUUUUCUUUUCUUUUCUUUUCUUUUUUUUAUUUAAAGUGAGCUUCCUCUCGCAUGUUUAGUGCCAAGAUAGAACAAGAAAAGAAGGAGGUUUCUGUAAAUGCAUUUUUUAAGUUUUGGUGUGUGUUCCUUUUACUGAAAAGAUUUACUAAUCCCUCUGGAAUGACAAUGAUUCAGAAACUAGCAGUUCAAAGUUACUCAAAGAAAUAAUUAGCAAUCUUAGCCAGCUCUUUGAAAAAAAUCUGUUUAGGCCAAAUCCUCUUGCUCAAAACUUUCUAGUGACUUAUUGUGUCUGCAGCUCAGACACAGCCUGACCUUGGAUAGAUAUUCCAUUCGCUGUUCCUCUCUACAGAAAGACAUUGAGGUCCUGGAGUGUAUCCAGAGAAGGGCAACAAAACUGGUGAGGGGUCUGGAGCACAAGCCUUAUGAGAAGCAGCUGCGGGAGCUGGGAUUGUAUAGUCUGGAGAAGAGGAGGCUUGGGGGUGACCUUAUCACUCUCUACAACUACUUGAAGGGAGGCUGUGGUGAGGUGUGGAUUGGCCUCUUCUCCCAUGUAACUAGCAAUAAUACUAGAGAGAAUGGCCUCAAGUUGCAUUAGGGGAGAUUCAGAUUGGACAUUAGGAAAUACUUCUCUGAGAGAGUGAUCAGGCACUGAAAUGGGCUACCCAGGGAGCUGGUGGAAUCACUGUCCCUUGAGGUGUUCAAGAAAUGUUUAGAUGUUGUAUUGAGGGAGGUGGUUUAGUGGGAAAUAAUGGUGAUAGGUGGACAGUUGGACUGGAUGAUCUUAGAGGUCUUGUCCAAUCUUGGUGAUUCUAUGAUUCUAAAAUACAGACAACUAAAUUUUAAAAAGACCUUCAUAUUUUUCAGAGUUGUUUUAUCAGAGCUGCUGCUCACACACUAUUAGAAAGCCUAGAUUUGUACAACAGCAGCGUAAGAGGAGAUAGCAUAUUUCAUGCCAUCCCAGCUUAAUAUUGUUAGCUAUCCCAGUUGAUGAGCAGGGAACACUGUAAUUAUCAGAAGUUUAGCAGAAAGAAUCAUAAUCAGUACACCAAAUAGAUCUGUUGUAAUUUUUGGGGAACGAAAAAACAACUAGGGGCAAACUUAACAGCAUGCAUAAACUGAGAUGCACAUCUGUAUCACUCCUUUUCCUCUCUCAUUACACCACACACCCUCCUGCUUGCAAACAAAGAUCUCUGUAAGGUAAGUCACAACAGGUGGUAAACACUCCAGCAUUUAAGGGCUUGUUUAGAUGGUAAAUGGAACCAAUCCAAUUAAAUCUGUUGUAAAUCACACCCUUAGCAUUUCAGCAGUAGUUAGCAUGAGACACAGAUUUCAGAGCCAUUUCACUGCAACUUAAUGUGAUUUCUUUUAUCAGCUUAAUUUACAACAAAAUGAGGGUCUACAAACAGAUCGCAAUCAAAAUAUUGUGAAUUAAAAUGCAGAUAUUUCUUUUCAUUUUAGUUACCGCAUAGUCUAAACCUAAGACUUAAUAAACACAUACAUACACAUACAGAACAAUCACUGGUUCACUAGGAAGACAAUUACAAAUUACUCAGUGCUGCCAAUUAGUGAACUAGCAGGAAAAAAGUCUACAAAUAGAAGUAAAGCAGAAUGCUUCACAAAAUGCGUACCAUUUAUUUUUUGUGAGAAAAGUCAUAACUAGUGCUGCAUAGUAUCUUAUCAAGAGAACCAAUGAACAUCAGGUUCUUACAUAUUUUCCAAUAUAUAGCAUUACAUGCAACAUAUAGGGAAGAAAAUCUCAUCACAGUAUUUUGUUAGAUGUUUAGCAAAGAUUCUCAGAAAAGACCUGUGUCACUUUGAGAUGCAUUAUCAGCAACUGACAAAUUAGUGAGGUUUUAUGCUAAUGUAUUGAUACGAUUACUCAGGAAUACUGCAAACAAGUUUCUGAGGGACUCAAAAACAAAUCAGUGUUACUGUAUACACAGCCCACUUACGGUUUCUAUCAGCAUUUCUAUGUUUUCUUGUUAAGUCAGUGAGAACACACAAAAGCAAGCAAAUCUUCAGCCCUGCAUAUUCAUCAGAAAGCUUUCAAAUAACUUCACGUCAUUACUCAACAGAAAAUUUAGCCCCACUAAGCUCAUUCAAUCAGGGAAUGGAAACUGUGCCACACUUGAUCAAUAACGAACAGGCAGCAUGGCUUGAAAUUCCAGUAUUGAUCACCUCCACAAAACAUGUCAUUUAGCUGCAAAAAACUUUGAGGAAACUGCAGCCACCUGGGAGAUGUUGCAUAAAGACACAUACAGCAAGAUUCAAACAAGCAAUUGAUUCAGCUUUGAUACAUACAUGGCUAAUGUAACAUCUGAAUUACUUUCACUUUCCUAUCAGCGAGCAGGACUGUUUCCCAUGGAACAAGUAUAGCCCAAGCAAUGGUAUGGAGGAGCUUUCUUUGCCAGGGAAUCCUAUGCACUGCCCUUCGUUGGGUACAACUAAUAAGUAAACUUAGAAGCAUUAACAUCACUGCCCUCCUCUUGGAAACCAGUUCUUAAGGCACAAAAUACCUGGAUGACUCUUGUGGAUAUCUGAUCUUACAUCUCCCAGGGCUUAAACAUAAAUAUCUGGGUGAGAUUUUGCUAUCCCAUCAUUAACUUGUAUUGUUGGAUGCUGGCUCAGCAUCAAAACAUAUGGAAAGGGAUGAUUACUCUCUAAAUACACCAAGGAAGAAGAGUAAGGGGAGAGGAAAGAAGAAUGUCAAGACAAUGUGGGCACAGAAACAGGGAAGAGUCAGCCAGAAGUAUGUUUAGAUGGUAGGAAAAAAAAAGAAGAAAAAAAAAAAAAAAAAGGCAUGAGCUUCCAAAGAGAUUCUGAGGCAUAUUUUGCAUGAAAAUAGCAAGGGAAAACCCUUUCCUCAUUCUUCACAUGGAACUUCAUCAUUUGAUGCCAAGCAUGACACAAUGCAGUUACUUGGUACAGGAGGGGACAGCCUGGGAAGGUCCCUCUACUCCUGUCAGAGCUCAUGUAGGUAAACAGAUGUAGGUAUAGAUUUGUUGUAUAUAGAAAGGUGUGGUUUGGGAGGGUAAGCAGUUACAUUUACAAAGGUAAAUGCAUUUCCUUGAUGAAAAAAAAUCAGCAACUGAGAGUCACCAACAUAAGCAACUGUGUGAUAACGUUGGCUGUUGCUUUUUCAAAACACUGGCAUGUUGUUGUCAUGCAGCUAUUAUGAAGAAAUCACACUGUGAGGCAAGAAGCCUUCCUGCAAACCAGGAUGGGAAGCACAGAAUCAGCUGCAGUUUUUUCACUGCAGGGGUUUCUAUACAGAAAAAAAUCUGAUCAUCGGUUUUGAACACACUAAGAAAAAUUCAGUUUGCAAACAAUGAACAUCCUUUGUGUUCAGUGCUGGCAAAGCAAUUGAUUCUAGUUUGAGAUUGGAGCUGUGCCACUGCAAAAGCAGUUCAUCUUUUCUGUUCUGAAAAGUAUUGUAAUGAAGAGUUUCAACUGAGGGGAUUUUUAUCAUGAGAUUCAGGUUAUGACUUCUUUCAAUUUCUCUCACUUCACAAAACAAAAUGUAUGGAAUCCAUCAUUCCAGUAUAUUGAGAAAUAAAGUAACUCCAAGACACCGCAGAAAAUGUUAGGACUUAUUAUACAACAAACAAAUAACUUCUAAUAUGCUUCUACCUUCCUACUUUCUCCAACAAAAUUCAGGAGCACAUUAGGAGGGUAUGGCUUCCCACUGCAUGAAUACAAAUACUGAGGUGAAAUUUGACUGUCUUUAAAAGAGAAAACAUCUUUCUGAAGCAAAAGAUUCAAUGGUGGAACAACACAGAAAACCCCAUCUCAUUAUUAGACAAGGAACAGGGUCACAUAAAUGGAAAACAUACUUAGUGUGCAGGAGAGCUUUUCUUUUGAACUCUUAUGUGUUCAAGUGCUCACACACUCUCUCAAAGGAGUAACCUUUUAUGUCCAAGCAAGCAGGAUGAGAUCACUCAGAAAAUCUGGCCUUUAAAUGGCAUCUUUGUGAUAAAGAAUGAGAAAUUCCCUAUAAAAAUGGGGACCUUACUACUGAUUUUCUGAGCAUAAAGGCUUCUUUUUCUUUUUUUUUCCUGACUGUAUCAGCACGUCUUAUAAAAAUUUCACUUCUCCCAGCGAACCUUGCAUAUCUCAUAUCCUCAGACCAUCUUGACUAGAACAACCUCACUGCAUUAAAAAAGACUGGCAGCCUUAAAACCCGACAGACGUUUCUUUUUAACACCUUUUUAUACAAAAGCAAUAACAGCAGGUAGUAAACCAACACUGCCACACAGCAUGGUGUAGGAAGGAAGUGCUAUAAACCCUAUCACAAUUAUUUUAGUGAAAGACAAGGCCAUCAUUAGUGCCAUAUUGAUCAACCUCCUCCUCCCAUCUCCAGUGUUUGGAAGUUCAUUCACAUUAUUAUUACUGUUCCAGACAGUAUUAUUAUAACAGACAUACAUUAUACAAUAAGAGGCUUUGGUAUAAUUGACAUCUGAAGCACCAGGGAGCUUGAAUGCUCGCUACUGGUUAGAAUGUGGUCUCCAGAGGGAGACUUUCCUUCUCACAAAAGGGGCUAUCACACAGUCAUUGCAGUGUGUAAAUCAAAUCCUCAGUGACUGCUGUUUUUUCAUUACUUGUCUGUGACCUGGAACUAAAUCUUCACAACACUGUAUUGCUGAUUAUCCACUUCUGGAACCCAAAACAAUACACCACAACUAUGAACCAAUACCUACACACAGAGUAAAGCAAAUGACCUACCUGGGUUAAAACAACCGAAGCUUGUUUAUUUUUUUAGAGCAAACAGAGAAUAUAAUCCCACUGUUUGGGCUCAAGGUGUUGUGGAAGAUCUCUGACUUCCAUGCACAGCUAGGAGCAAGCCAGACACAGGAAGCACAGAUAGAUUUAAAGCAUCCCACCCCUCAACCAAAUUAAGCUUUUGCCAGAAAUGUUUGUUAAAAGACCCACAUGUUGCACAUUAAACGCUAUGUCAAAAUAAAAGGCAACUAUUUACACAAAGGUUUCUUCUACAAGCAGAGUGCAGUGAGGAAGGCCUGGCAGUGGGACUGAACAGCAGCCCCCAUAGGAGGUUAUGCACUGAAUUUGGCGUGAGAAAAAUCAGGCCACAGCCCUCAGAUGACACAUGAGAAAGACCAAUUCUAAUGUCCGUCCAGGGCCUGCUCCCACUAGCGGCAAUGAUUUAUAAGAGGGAACUGAGUCCACAGCACUCUCCUCGACAUUUACCAUGAUGUGGGGAAAUUCUGCUGAAUACCUCCUAAUCAACAAACAUAUUCCACCAAGUUCAUACACUGUGAGCAAGCUUGAGGAAGAAAUCCACCCAUGCACAAUUUGCAUGGCUUCUUGAGCUCAAAGACCCCUCGAUGGCUAAUUUUAACAGUGACUCCCCACUCACAACAGGCUCCCUGGGUAACUAUCAGCUUCCCACCCUGCUUGCACCAGCUAGAGAGUGAUGUGUGCCUUCAUUCCCUGUUGCUACCAUGGGUUCAAGGAAAUGCCACGAGCUGGCACAGAUCACAGCAUUUGUUUGUAAGGUGGGACCUGAAACAGCUCUGCCAACACCAGAACUGAGAAGAAUAGGAGAAGGAAAAAGAAGUCUGAGCAAACAGCAGCUGUCCCUAGGGUAGCCCAGCCUGCACCCUAUGAAGGGUAGCUUUCCCUCGGACGCACAAGGGAAUGUGUGUUUAUUCACCCUCAUGCAGCCCCUCUCAAAAAGUCACACUCAUGAGUGUGGCAGGAGGGAGAUCACACUGCUGUACCCACAGUCUGCUUCUCUCUCCAAAAAGACAACCUUCAUCCUUCCCUCAACUAGGCACAAAUGAAGGAACUGUGCAGCACGAACCAGCUCUCCCCCACAUGUCAAGCUGAUUCAAAGCUUGAUAACAUACUCUGACAACCAGAGCAAGAAACAAAGGCCACUUUAUCUAGAAACUGGCAGUCACCAGCUGCAACCUGCCAGGAUAUAUGCAGGAGGAAAACCCAGGACUGUAUGCGAGUAAGAAGCCUCAGGAUGGAGCAAUGUCAGACACAGGCACAGAUGGGACAAGAGUGGUGGAGAGCAGCUCAGCAGAGAGGGAAUUGGGGGUGCAGGUGACAGCAGCUCAGAAUGAGCCAGCAGCAUGAUUAGCAGCCAAGAGGCAAACCACAUUUUGGGGUGCAUCAAACACAGAACGGACAGCUGGUCAAAAGAGGUGGUUAUCCCACUCUAUUCAGUGAUGGUACAACCUCACCUUGAACAUCAUGUGCAGUUCUGGGCGCCACAGUAUAAAAAGGGUGUUAGAGUCCUUGAACGCUUCCAGAGGAGGCACCAAAACUGAUAGCAGGGUUGGUAGGUGUGUCCUGUGAGAAAAGGCUGAGGACACUUGGGCUGUCCAGGCUGGAGGAGGUGCAAAGACGACCUCGCUACUCUCUGCAGCUUUGUGAGGAGGGGGAGCAGAGAGGUGCCAGGCUCUGCUCCUGGUCACUGAUGGGAAUGGCAGAGAGCUGCCAGGGGAGGGUCAGACUGGGCACUGGGAAACACUCCUUUUCUAUGAGGGUGGUCAGACACUGGAGAAGGCUUCCUAGAGAGGUGGUUGACACUCUGUGCCUGUCAGUGUUCAGGAGUCACAGGGACAAUGCCCUCAUUAAUGUGCUUUAACUUUUGCUUAGUCCUGAAGUGGUCAGGUAGUUGGACUUGAUCUCUGAAGGUCUCUUUUGACAGAACUGUCCUAUUCUGUUCUACACACAAUCAGCAACAUCUUACCUAGUCCUGUGCUAAAGAAAAAGAGGAGAGAUGACAAACAGAGUUCAUUUAGGAAGAGAUGAGAAAUCAGAAGACCUGGCUGCCAUAAGGGAUGUGCUGGGAUCAGGCUUUGCCAAUCACUACCAGACCCCUUGACUCCCUGUGACAACAGUGGAUGAUACGGGCACCCACCCAAACAAGGAGAUUAUCCAGCAGCUCCCACACAUCAAGCUGAGAGUGCCAACAUUUGCUUUCAAUAUAUAGGAAAGCCAAGCAAAUAAGCCUUAAUGCUUAGUACUAAAAACAAUGGAAGUCACUGCCCUGAAAUCUCAGUGGUGCUCUCCUGCAAUUAUUUCAAGCAAGGCCCAUCUUAUUUGCCUGUUUUUGUAUUCAACAAGGGGAGAUGAAUUUAUCUGCUGCCUGUGAUGUCAGCUUAAGAGGUCUGUUUAGGACACUGUCAUAAUUCUUGUCUUUCUUUUUUGCUAAUGGCUGCAUGCCUUUGAUUAAAACCUGCAUGGUGCAUUAAAGGCUAAAACAGAUGAUGAAUGCCAUGUAGUACUUUGUGUUAGAUCAGAGUUGAUUAGAAUUUCUGACGAUCCAGCAGCUAGAAGAGGAAACUGCUUAAGUAGUGAAAAUACUCGGCUGUUACUGUUGUAGGAGGCAGUGGCUUUUGUUUGACAUGAGAUACAAAACAGUAACCAAAUGGACAAUGUACUCUCUUGGUCAGUGAAUGGCUUUAUUAUCACAAAAGAGUUCUGUAAAGAAAAGCUGGUGAAUUAAUUAGUCCAAAUAUUUGUAAGACUUCUUGCUUGUUUUCAAGUGGGCAGCCCUCCCCCACCAACACCACAGUUUCAGAGCUGGAUGCCAGUUAGUUUAUUUUUCAUCACCGCAAAUAUAACAGAAGAGCAUUUUAAACAAACAAGCGAACAACAAAGCAGUGUACCAAAAUUAAAGAUAUUAGAGUCGUGUCCAUAUCACAGCAGCAUCCAGACAGAUACCUUUAGUAAUCUCUGCCAGCACACCAGUUAAUCAGAACACUAUUGCUGCUCUGAGUGAAAAGAUUUGGAUGAACAGGACAGACAAGUUGCAGAGGAGGAAGUUGCAUGAUUAAGCAGUGGUGGCAGAAAGCUGGCAGUAUGAGCAGACCAAACUUGCAGCAGAGUAAGGUUCACCUUCUAAGGUUAUCCAAAAUUCGUUAGGAGAGUGCACAGAAAAAGCUCGUUGAUGGGGAAUGGAAGGAAAGAGUUGUAGAUGAUGACUAUAGAGAGAUGGAAGAGAGGGAGGAAAAACCAAACUGUUUCUAUGGCGCUGUCCCCAAACAAAUAGUGUGGAUACCAUUUGCUUUUUGAUGGCCUGAUGACUUAAAGAACGUCAGGACUUUCCUUAGAUACAGCUUUUAGAUAUACCACCCUCUAUUAAAUGAUUUCCUUAAAAGUGCAAAUCCUCAGUAACUUUAAUGGGAUUCUUUGUAGAAAAAAAAGAAAAAGAAGAAAAAAAGAAAAACCAGAUGAUGCAGAUAUUUUGCAAUUCUGGGCACAAGAUACUAGCUUGCUAUUUCUAAAACAGCUGCUAAAUAUGAUCAAUGGCCUUUUUAGUGCAACUUGCUUUACUAACCAUCUCAACCUUUCCAGUCCAGCAGCACACUGAUAUUACAAUGGUUUCUUUUGCAGCUAGUGCCCUGCAUAUACUCUUCUAAUCUAGACUGUGGCACUCAAUGGAUGGCUAAAGUACAGAGUUGAAGAGAAUUUAAAUACUGUACUUCCACUACAGCUUUAGAGUAGUGUCAGAUUCAGGAACACACCACGUUGAAGGAGUAUCCAUAUCUCCAGGCCAGGUAUUCUAUUGUCCAAGUGUUAUAUUUAGAAUCAUACGUAUGUAAAUUUGGAAUAAGCCACUAAAACUCCUCCUAGAUUUAAGAAGGAAAAGCUGGGUAGAAAGUACUCUUGGAGAAGUCCAGAAGUAGUAGAGUGAAGCCUCAAAGGCCAUAGAAAAUACAACACUUCUAGUGGUAUCACAUAAAAAGACACCACCACAGCUGCAAGAAAGCUGUAGCUUGUUCUUGAUCCAGGUUUCCUCAGGAUAUGGGUUCCAGAGAUCUGAAUCCUCCAGAACAAACAUCCUGCUCAUCAUGUGAACGGAUGUAAGUGCUUUCUUGUGCAAGCUUCUGCUUCAGUCCCAGAAAGAGGAUGUUGACCUGGCAGCAGUGCUUCUCUCCUAUGUGGACUUCAUUCUUCACUAAUCUUAGAUCCUUACUUAGAUGAUUCUCUCUAAGGCAAGGCAUUUUUCCUGUGCAACCCAUCAAGACUUUGGUGCCCAAGGCAGAAGGAAGUCAUCACAAGGUUUACUUAUCUUAAGUAAUCAUUCAUCACUUUGCAGGACAUCCAGUCAUGUCUAGGUCAGUGUUAGUCAGGAAAUCUCCAGUCAAAGUGUACUAUCACUGCCAUCCAGCCACUCUCUUCCUGAAGUAGGCUGCUGUAAUCAGAGAAAAAACACAGCUGCAUCUCUAGCUUCAAAGCAGAACUACUGUUAUCUUCCAAACAUAUAUUCUUUCCCAGUUUUUGCUACCCACAACUUUGUUGCAGCAGAUUACGUGUUUAAGAUGCCUAAGUGGAAGGGAAGUCCUCUUAGAAGGAAAAAAAGUUCACAGAACUGCAAAGUACACCACAGACAUCAAUGACGACUUCAAACAAAACUAGUAUGACAAGCCAAAAGAGUAACAAAUAAUCUCAUCUGUUAUGGAGAUAAUUGGUUUUGAUUCCCAAAAACUGUAUCAAAUUUUGUGUGUAUUUGCACUGUGCUGUGAUUAAGUGUUCUUUCCUCUUCAUGUUUGAAAGAGAACAUACUCCAAAGGCACGCUAUCUAGAUUACAUACACCCAUAUAAGUUUUGUAGUCUUGAGAGCAUCCCACUUUGAUCUCAGAAGCUGAUUGUUGGAGCCCCCACAGAGCAAAAAAAAUAGCACAGGAGGGUCUUCUCAUUGAUAUACACAUAAGGAAAACUCAUGAGAUUUCUGUGAAAUUGCUUUGGUUUAGAUUUUUUUCUCAAGUGUUUCAUUUCAACUAUAAAUAGAAAAUAGAAUCUCAUGACAAAGAUGUAGUUGACAUAGUGUGCAAUUUAUCAUCUGUGAGCACAUUUCAGAGUACUUGUCUCAAAGCUGACAUGCUGUGUGGACUGUGGAAUAUGACUAUUUUAAUAUAUUCCAUGACAAAUGCAAGCAAAAGUAGCUGGGGUGCAAACAAUCCACAAAGAAAAUUCUCCAUUGGCUCUCCUGAUCUGAC